GUCUGAGCAUGCGCAGUGGCCAUUGGUUCAGCUGUACGGGCAAGAAUUGGCGCUAACUGCGAAAACUGAGGAAAAGGGAAAGUAGUCGAGUGGAUUUUUACCAUUUUGUGAAGCCUCAUUUUGUAUUUUAAAGAAUUAUUAGAUGGAGAUGGUGACAGCAGUAUUUUCUUUACUUCACAUGAGAUUCUGACAGUGAUAAGGUCAAGGCACAAGUGUCUGCCGGGGUGCUGACUGAUCAGAAGAGCCUCUCCUAAUCCUUUCCCUCUGUACCCUGUUUCACUGCCAUCAUUUCUGAGGGAGGUAUUGUAACGGACAAUCUGCAGGACCUUCCUAUUUCACCUUUCCUCUGGUUUGGGCAGUCAUAUUGGUUUUCACUUGCAGUGCCCUAAAGCCAUUAAAACACUUUCAACGUCAUUCAGAGUGAUGUGUGGAUUGAGAAAGAACAAACAUUGCUUUUGGAUUAUGAGCAACAUCAGUGUAUUUUAUUGAAGGAAUAAAAAUAAAAGGCAUAUAAUUUAA